rfam:TPA: Bos taurus chromosome 2, whole genome shotgun sequence.
UCCCUGGUAGCUCAGUCGGUAAAGAAUCUGCCCCCAGGGCAGGAGACCCGGGUUCAAUUCCUGGGUUGGGAA